rnacentral:piRNA from 1 species
UGAUGUGACAUAUGUGAGAGGUGGAC